CCGAAACCGCCAAAGCGCCGCCGCAGUUACAACCGAGGCGGCGAUGAGCUUCACCCGGGUCGAUUCGCCUCCACAUCACCGAUUCAACGAAGAUCCUUCUCAAAUUCUGUGAUUCAGCUGAUGGUGACAAAUUAAAAUAUGAAUGACAAGCGUGCACCAUAUCUGAGAUCUCAAUAACAAUACUGCAACAUGGAAGUUGCAUAUGAAUGAAGUGGAAUGAAGUGGCGUUACUAUUCCAUUUACAGAUUCUUGUUCUAUUCUACAUGGACAUAUUAUGUAAUGUGAUAUAUUUUGUUACUAUACAAUUUUGUCAUGUUCCAUUCCAUUUGACGAUUACUAAAAGUGCUCUAUUUUAUUUAAAAAUAUAGUUUGUAACUUUCUUAA